rnacentral:rRNA from 1 species
UUUGAUCCUGGCUCAGGACGAACGCUGGCGGCGCGCCUAACACAUGCAAGUCGAACGAGAGAGAGGAAGCUUGCUUCCUCAAUCGAGUGGCGAACGGGUGAGUAACGCGUGAGGAACCUGCCUCAAAGAGGGGGACAACAGUUGGAAACGACUGCUAAUACCGCAUAAGCCCACGGGUCGGCAUCGACCAGAGGGAAAAGGAGCAAUCCGCUUUGAGAUGGCCUCGCGUCCGAUUAGCUAGUUGGUGAGGUAACGGCCCACCAAGGCAACGAUCGGUAGCCGGACUGAGAGGUUGAACGGCCACAUUGGGACUGAGACACGGCCCAGACUCCUACGGGAGGCAGCAGUGGGGAAUAUUGCACAAUGGGGGAAACCCUGAUGCAGCGACGCCGCGUGGAGGAAGAAGGUCUUCGGAUUGUAAACUCCUGUUGUUGAGGAAGAUAAUGACGGUACUCAACAAGGAAGUGACGGCUAACUACGUGCCAGCAGCCGCGGUAAAACGUAGGUCACAAGCGUUGUCCGGAAUUACUGGGUGUAAAGGGAGCGCAGGCGGGAAGACAAGUUGGAAGUGAAAUCUAUGGGCUCAACCCAUAAACUGCUUUCAAAACUGUUUUUCUUGAGUAGUGCAGAGGUAGGCGGAAUUCCCGGUGUAGCGGUGGAAUGCGUAGAUAUCGGGAGGAACACCAGUGGCGAAGGCGGCCUACUGGGCACCAACUGACGCUGGGGCUCGAAAGUGUGGGUAGCAAACAGGAUUAGAUACCCUGGUAGUCCACACCGUAAACGAUGAUUACUAGGUGUUGGAGGAUUGACCCCUUCAGUGCCGCAGUUAACACAAUAAGUAAUCCACCUGGGGAGUACGACCGCAAGGUUGA